CAGUUCUGAGUGGUAGGGUGGCAUCGUACUUAGUUGGAAGGCAGCCCGGCAUCAGCCUAGGUAGGGCGCACCACCGAUGAUGGUGAUCUUGUGGUUAGUGCAAACCUCUGCAGAGUUUCUGGUUGAUCGAUCGAUACAUAUGCCGUUUACGGCUAUGGACCUUUCCUAUGUUUCCGCUUCACUUGACUAGUGAGAGGAGUCCUUUCUACCUUCCCCUGGGUUUGUGUUGGAUCCGGCGUUGGCUGUUGAGGCAAGGCACGAGCGGGAGUCGUACUUGCUGCCUAGAGAGUGAGAGUGUGGAGAGAUGUGUGUGAUGGGAU
rnacentral:lncRNA from 1 species